GGCAUGGUGGGACAGUGAUUAGCACUCCUGUCCCGCAAUAAGGAGGCUCCGGGUUCGAGUGCCAGCCAGCCA